UAACCUGGAGGUAGCUGAAAGAGAUGAGAGGAGUGGAUGACAGCUGGAGAGAGGUCAUUCUCUAGCUCCAACAUCAGUCUCCCGUAUCUUUUCAAUCCUGUUUCUCUUUG
ensembl:miRNA